GAGCUGCUCAGGAGGAACUGAGGCCGGCUGCCAAUAACCAGCACCAACUUGCCUGCCGUGUGAGUGAGCCAUCUGGGAAACCAAGCCUCCAGCCUCCAUGAAGCCUGCAGGCAAGGACCAUCCUGUUGAGUACAAAGUGGACCUGAUGGUAAAGCCCCUCAGACUUUGUGGAACAAAAGCAGAACCCUAGGAACGGCAGAGCAACCAGCUAGAAAGAGCCUGGCUCCUGAUGAACUGCAGCUUGAGUAUCUGUUAUGGAUUGCUAAUGUCUG
rnacentral:lncRNA from 1 species